GGACAAACCUCAAAAGGUGUGAACACAAUUUUCCAUAGGGAACACAAACUAUAGGGAAAAGCACAAACUAUGGCGCAGUUUCCGAAGAAAUUCCAAGCUCACAGCCAAGAUGCCACCACCACUCCCUUGGACUUCCUGGCCUUCAGAACUGUGACCCGAAUGUGCUGCUGUUUCUUGUGAAUUGCCCAGCACCCUAAUCCAGAAAGAAGAAUUCACCACAAUUUGCACCUAGAAGAUUGUCCUGAG